GUGCUUGUUUUGGCAGCACAUAUACUAAAAUUGGAAUGACACAGAGAAGAUUAGCAUGGUUCCUGACCAAAAGGUAAGAGAAAGGAGAACUGUUUUA
ensembl:snRNA U6 U6 spliceosomal RNA